rnacentral:rRNA from 1 species
UACGGAGGAUGCGAGCGUUAUCUGGAUUUAUUGGGUUUAAAGGGUGCGUAGGCGGCUUAGUAAGCCAGCGGUGAAAUUUUGCAGCUUAACUGUAACAGUGCCGUUGAUACUGCCAGGCUAGGAUUUGGUUACUGUGGGUGGAAUGUGUGGUGUAGCGGUGAAAUGCUUAGAUAACACACAGAAUAUCGAUUGCGAAGGCAGCUCACAAAGCCAAGAUUGACGCUGAGGCGCGAAAGUGUGGGGAUCAAACA